rnacentral:rRNA from 1 species
UCUUACGACGGUCUACCAUGCAGUCGUACCAGUAGCAGCGCAAGCAGCUUGCUGCUUUGCUGACGAGUGGCGGACGGGUGAGUAAUGUCUGGGAAACUGCCUGAUGGAGGGGGAUAACUACUGGAAACGGUAGCUAAUACCGCAUAACGUCGCAAGACCAAAGAGGGGGACCUUCGGGCCUCUUGCCAUCGGAUGUGCCCAGAUGGGAUUAGCUAGUAGGUGGGGUAACGGCUCACCUAGGCGACGAUCCCUAGCUGGUCUGAGAGGAUGACCAGCCACACUGGAACUGAGACACGGUCCAGACUCCUACGGGAGGCAGCAGUGGGGAAUAUUGCACAAUGGGCGCAAGCCUGAUGCAGCCAUGCCGCGUGUAUGAAGAAGGCCUUCGGGUUGUAAAGUACUUUCAGCGGGGAGGAAGGCGAUGAGGUUAAUAACCUCGUCGAUUGACGUUACCCGCAGAAGAAGCACCGGCU